UUGCCUCUUGCCCCUGGUCAACCAGUUCUAAACAUUGAUCUCCGAGUACCUGCUUCUCUUUUUGGCAUUGAACCAUCAGUAUUCACUAUUCAGUACCUGGGAACAAGAGAAUAUGGUAGCUGAACGAGCUAAGCUGCACUUAGCUUUAACGUUUUUGCAAUUUUGUUAUGCAGGAAACCACAUAUUUGUGAGGAUUGCACUUGAUUCAGGCGUCAGCAAGCUUGUAUUUCCUGUCUAUAGAAACAUCACUGCUCUUCUUCUUCUGGGUCCCUUAGCUUAUUUUUCAGAGAAGUAUGCACUUCAGUUCUAUACCAUAUAUAAAUGAAUUCUGUCAUGUUCCCAGUUUCAGCUAUCUUACCUUUUUCUUUUUCUUUUUUGGAUCUUAUUGUUUGCCUCUUUGCAAGGAAAGACAGGCCAUCAAUAACCAGAUAUUGUCUUGUCCAAUUUUUCCUUCUAGGACUUGUUGGGUAUGUAUGAUCUUUCCAUGAAGCUACUCCACUGUAUCAAUUAAUUGGCAAUGUUUGUGUAACUUAAAAAGUAUUAAUUUUGAUUCUUGCAGAAUAACAUUGAAAGAAGGGUUCCAUCUUUGAAGGAAACAUCAUUUUUCUGAAUGAAUCAAAAUCCAGUAACAUAACAUGGUUGGUUAACCAAUCAAAUAUUCAAAAUAAACUUUGAAGGCUUUGCCUCGAGGAGAUUAGUAUAAUGACCAUCGGCUUUGGGAUAACUAGGGGAAAAAAACUGUAUAAUUAUAAUUAGUUGGUUACAGGCGUGUUGGUCCAAAUUGGUGUUCUAUGGGAAAACAUGGAUUGAUUUUUAUUAAUAUUUUGACAGUAAACAUGGAGUGAUUGAGCUAUUGCAACAUGUCAGGCUUUGACUUCAAAUGCCCUUCCUUCACUUUGGGGUGAAAUGGAGUGGAUGAAAGAUUGGAUUGAGGAGUGUAGCUAAUAUUCAAUGGCGCAUCACAAUCACAUGCACGCAAGCAAUCCAAUUACUAACAGUAGAUUAUUAGAGUGUCCAUUAACACUUUUUACCAUGAAGCGACAGAAAUUAUUUAUAGAUUACUAAUAAACACGUUGCACUUUGUUUUCUUUUGUCACCACUUACAAGAAGGUAGAACUAAACAAGAUUGCAAUUAUUAUAGAUCUCUUAUCUUCCACUUCCAGACAGUUUUUGCCUCUUGCCCCUGGUCAACCAGUUCUAAACAUUGAUCUCCGAGUACCUGCUUCUCUUUUUGGCAUUGAACCAUCAGUAUUCACUAUUCAGUACCUGGGAACAAGAGAAUAUGGUAGCUGAACGAGCUAAGCUGCACUUAGCUUUAACGUUUUUGCAAUUUUGUUAUGCAGGAAACCACAUAUUUGUGAGGAUUGCACUUGAUUCAGGCGUCAGCAAGCUUGUAUUUCCUGUCUAUAGAAACAUCACUGCUCUUCUUCUUCUGGGUCCCUUAGCUUAUUUUUCAGAGAAGUAUGCACUUCAGUUCUAUACCAUAUAUAAAUGAAUUCUGUCAUGUUCCCAGUUUCAGCUAUCUUACCUUUUUCUUUUUCUUUUUUGGAUCUUAUUGUUUGCCUCUUUGCAAGGAAAGACAGGCCAUCAAUAACCAGAUAUUGUCUUGUCCAAUUUUUCCUUCUAGGACUUGUUGGGUAUGUAUGAUCUUUCCAUGAAGCUACUCCACUGUAUCAAUUAAUUGGCAAUGUUUGUGUAACUUAAAAAGUAUUAAUUUUGAUUCUUGCAGAAUAACAUUGAAAGAAGGGUUCUACCUUUUGGGUUUGGAUAACACUUCACCUACCUUUGCUGCUGCUAUGCAGAACUCUGUUCCAGCUCUGACCUUUCUCAUGGCUGUAGUACUCAGGCAAGCUAUAAAGUUCUUACUUUAAAUCCAUGUUUCAAAGCUCUUCUAUAAUUGAUUCCAAAGCUAAAAUUAAUUCUGAGUAUAAGUUUUUGUGAGUAGCUUACGAGUGUCAGAAUUAUUCUCGAAAAAAAAAAAGUUGGUCCAGUAAGACGCUUACAAAGUAUAUGUAGAAAUACUUAUAUGACAUUGAUCAAUU
rnacentral:lncRNA from 1 species